GAUGAACGCUAGCGGCAGGCCUAACACAUGCAAGUCGAGGUAGCGGCGGACGGGUGAGUAACACGUAUCAAACCUGCCCUUUGCUCGGGGUUAGAGUUUCGAAAGAAAGAUUAAUACCCGAAGUAGAGGAUGGGGAUGCGUUCUUUGAGGUUGUUGGUGAGGUAGCGGCUCACCAAGGCUGCGAUGGAUCGGGGUUCUGAGAGGAAGGUCCCCUACAUUGGAUCUGGGACCCGGUCCAAAAUCGUACGGGGGGCAGGAGAAAAGAAUAUUUUGCGAUGGGCGCUAGCCUGACCCAGCCAAGUAUCUUGAAGGAUCCAGUGUUAGGGGACCUAAUCUUCCUAUGUAUAAAAAUAUGUACUAGAUGAAUAAGGAUCGGCUAACUCCGUGCCAGCAGCCGCGGUAAUAC
rnacentral:rRNA from 1 species